rnacentral:rRNA from 1 species
UACGAAGGGGGCUAGCGUUGUUCGGAUUUACUGGGCGUAAAGCGCGUGUAGGCGGGUCGUUAAGUUGGGGGUGAAAUCCCGAGGCUCAACCUCGGAACUGCCUUCAAAACUGGCGACCUGGAGCAAAGAAGAGGCGAGUGAAUUGCGAGUGUAGAGGUGAAAUUCGUAGAUAUUCGCAGGAACACCAGUGGCGAAGGCGACUCGCUGGUCUUUUGCUGA